UACGAAGGGGGCUAGCGUUGCUCGGAAUCACUGGGCGUAAAGGGCGCGUAGGCGGAUCUUUAAGUCGGGGGUGAAAGCCCAGGGCUCAACCCUGGAAUGGCCUUCGAUACUGGAGAUCUUGAGACCGGAAGAGGUAAGUGGAACUGCGAGUGUAGAGGUGAAAUUCGUAGAUAUUCGCAAGAACACCAGUGGCGAAGGCGGCCAUCUGGCUCGGUACUGACGCUCAGGUGCGAAAGCGUGGGGAGCAAACAGG
rnacentral:rRNA from 1 species